GUACUGUAAGAAGUGCCUUAUGGUUCAAGUGCUGAAUUGACACACCCAGGAUCCUGUUCCUUGAACUGUGAUGACAGUUUCAACUAGCUGCUCACAGGUCAAUUAUAAGUAUGACUUGUAUUCCAAAGACACUUCUGAAGGUGAGGAGUAUUGAGGGAAUAUUGCAUAGUAAUACUCUUGUAAGACAAGUAGAGGCUCUGAUCCAGAGAGCCACAAAAUAUAUAUUUGAUAUAUUCUGAUAUGCAGAUUUUUUAUUAGGGUGCUAAACUUGGGGCAAAGAUUGGGGAAGUUGUGCAGUGGUACUCGGUAUGACCAGUAACCGCCCAUAUACAAAGAUCCUGCAAAAGUAACUUCUAAAGGAUGUUUAGAAAAUAACAUGCCUUGUGUCUGGGGUUUUACUGAGUAGUAGUAUGUGAUGGUAGUGAGGAACAGUACAAUCCCCAUAGCUGUGUGUUAGUAGUGUUAAUAGUAGUGAACGGACUGAAAGGGAACUUAACAUUCACAUCAUCUCCUGAGGCCUAUUGUUGCCUCUGACCCAACGUGUCUGUCUGUCUGUCAGAGGCCCCAUCAGGGGGCAGGUCACCAGGCAGAACCAGUGAGCUAGAGAGGCCCCACCAGGGGGCAGGUCACCAGGCAGAACCAGUGAGCUAGAGAGGCCCCACCAGGGGGCAGGUCACCAGGCAGAACCAGUGAGCUAGAGAGGCCCCACCAGGGGGCAAGUCACCAGGCAGAACCAGUGAGCUAGAGAGGCCCCAUCAGGGGGCAGGUCACCAGGCAGAACCAGUGAGCUAGAGAGGCCCCACCAGGGGGCAGGUCACCAGGCAGAACCAGUGAGCUAGAGAGGCCCCACCAGGGGGCAGGUCACCAGGCAGAACCAGUGAGCUAGAGAGGCCCCACCAGGGGGCAAGUCACCAGGCAGAACCAGUGAGCUAGAGAGGCCCCAUCAGGGGGCAGGACACCAGGCAGAACCAGUGAGCUAGAGAGGCCCCACCAGGGGGCAGGUCACCAGGCAGAACCAGUGAGCUAGAGAGGCCCCACCAGGGGGCAGGUCACCAGGCAGAACCAGUGAGCUAGAGAGGCCCCAUCAGGGGGCAGGUCACCAGGCAGAACCAGUGAGCUAGAGAGGCCCCACCAGGGGGCAAGUCACCAGGCAGAACCAGUGAGCUAGAGAGGCCCCACCAGGGGGCAGGUCACCAGGCAGAACCAGUGAGCUAGAGAGGCCCCAUCAGGGGGCAAGUCACCAGGCAGAACCAGUGAGCUAGAGAGGCCCCAUCAGGGGGCAGGUCACCAGGCAGAACCAGUGAGCUAGAGAGGCCCCACCAGGGGGCAGGUCACCAGGCAGAACCAGUGAGCUAGAGAGGCCCCAUCAGGGGGCAGGACACCAGGCAGAACCAGUGAGCUAGAGAGGCCCCACCAGGGGGCAGGUCACCAGGCAGAACCAGUGAGCUAGAGAGGCCCCACCAGGGGGCAGGUCACCAGGCAGAACCAGUGAGCUAGAGAGGCCCCAUCAGGGGGCAGGUCACCAGGCAGAACCAGUGAGCUAGAGAGGCCCCACCAGGGGGCAAGUCACCAGGCAGAACCAGUGAGCUAGAGAGGCCCCACCAGGGGGCAGGUCACCAGGCAGAACCAGUGAGCUAGAGAGGCCCCAUCAGGGGGCAAGUCACCAGGCAGAACCAGUGAGCUAGAGAGGCCCCACCAGGGGGCAGGUCACCAGGCAGAACCAGUGAGCUAGAGAGGCCCCAUCAGGGGGCAGGACACCAGGCAGAACCAGUGAG